rnacentral:ribozyme from 1 species
ACUUUUUUUUUUUUUUUUUUUUUUUUUUUUUUUUUUUUUUUUUUUUUUUUUUUUUUUGUUUAAUGCACCUUUAA